UGGAUUGGGGUGACAGUUGCACAGAAAUGUGAAUAUUCUUAAUGCCACUGAACUGUAUACUUAAAUAUGGUUUAAAUGAUAUGUUUUUUGUUACGUAUAUUUACAGCAACACAAAAAAUUUCUUUAACCCUGUGAUUUAGUUAUCCCUAAUUUGUAAGUGAUUAAAUGAGGUUCUGAGGUCACUCUGCUGCUAAGUGGUGUAGAGGCAGGAUUUAAACCGGGUCAUCUGGAUACUAAGCCUUUAGCAUUUCACUUUGUCCCUCUCCUCCCUGUGUGAGCUCUGAGAGCUGCUUCCUCACCCCCAAUAUUCCCUCAAACCGGGGAACAGGAUGCAGCACUUUCACAGAUCCCCCCACUCCUGCAGAGGAGAUUCUGCUUAUUUCUUGUCUCUCCCCAGACACCAAGACCACCACGCAGAGCCCCACCAAGGUAGGCUCCACAGCCACCUCAGCCAACGCAGCCACCAAAGCUGGCUUCAGGGUCACAGACAACAAAAGAAACUCAGAGUCUCCGCCCCUGAGUCUGGGAACUGCAGUCGGAGUGCCAGUGGCCGCUGCUGUGCUUAUAACUGUGAUUUUGGGAUUGAUAGUCUUCCUUAGGCGGAAGAGAAGGAAAGGUCGGCACACUAAAGCCACAACCCCAACCUGGGAACCCUUCCAAAACACUAAGGAGAAAUGUGAGAAUAUUGGGACUGAAGG